rnacentral:rRNA from 1 species
GAUGAACGCUGGCGGUAUGCUUAACACAUGCAAGUCGAACGGACUCUUCGGAGUUAGUGGCGGACGGGUGAGUAACGCGUGAGAAUCUGGCUUUGGGUUCGGGACAACCACUGGAAACGGUGGCUAAUACCGGAUGUGCCGAGAGGUAAAAGAGAAAUUGCCUGAAGAUGAGCCCGGGUCUGAUUAGCUAGUUGGUGAGGUAAAGGCUCACCAAGGCAGCGAUCAGUAGCUGGUCUGAGAGGAUGACCAGCCACACUGGGACUGAGACACGGCCCAGACUCCUACGGGAGGCAGCAGUGGGGAAUUUUCCGCAAUGGGCGAAAGCCUGACGGAGCAAUACCGCGUGAGAGAAGAAGGCUCUUGGGUUGUAAACCUCUUUUCUUAGGGAAGAACAAAAUGACGGUACCUAAGGAAUCAGCAUCGGCUAACUCCGUG